ensembl:lncRNA
GGCAGCAGCAUCUUGUGAAGCUCCCCAGGUAAUCUGUGUGCCCGGCCGAGCUCCACAGCCAUAACAUCUCUUUUUCCUUCAACGGGGGCCAUAUUUUAACCAAUGUUUGAGGCAGUCAUUUUGUAGAAUUCUCCUGCUUUCCCAUAGCUGUGUGCCUCAGGCUGCCGCAGAUGUUGGAAAGAAAACGCCUGGAGAUUCAGUCUCCGAAGGGUGACUUGUCUUGAAUGAUGAGGAAGGUCCAGUUGUACAAGUUCCAUCUGCUGCCCUUACCUGCAACACUCCUUCAAUGGUGAAUGGAACCUCAACUCUCCGGUGACCCCAGCCAUAAACUGGGGAGGCAUUCUGGACUCUUCAGUCCACAUCCAAUUCAUCACUAACCAUGAUAUCCUGCCUCUAAGGACCUCACAGAUCCAUCCUGUUCUCCCCAUCCAUCCUGCAGCUUCUUGAGUUUGAGCAUUACCUGAAUUAUGCAGUAGCCCCUGGUGGGUCUCCCUAGUGCCUCUCCUCAAAUCCCUUUCCCAAAAUGUGGUCAGAGUGAACUUUCUAAGCUAUAAAUCUCCUUAUU